ACUUCCUGGUAUUUGAAGAUGCGGUUGACCAUGGUGUGUACGCUUUAUUUAUAACGUAGGACACAUGGUCUACUUCUUCUCAAUAUCA
ensembl:miRNA